CGGGGGGGGCAAGCGUUGUUCGGAAUUACUGGGCGUAAAGGGCUCGUAGGCGGCCAACUAAGUCAGACGUGAAAUCCCUAGGCUCAACCUAGGAACUGCGUCUGAUACUGGAUGGCUUGAAUCCGGGAGAGGGAUGCAGAAUUCCAGGUGUAGCGGUGAAAUGCGUAGAUAUCUGGAGGAAUACCGGUGGCGAAGGCGGCAUCCUGGACCGGCAUUGACGCUGAGGAGCGAAAGCCAGGGGAGCAAACGGGAUUAGAUACCCCGGUAGUCCUGGCCCUAAACGAUGAAUGUUUGGUGUGACGGGUAUCGAUCCCUGUCGUGCCAAAGCUAACGCAUUAAACAUUCCGCCUGGGAGUACGGUCGCAAGGCUG
rnacentral:rRNA from 1 species